rnacentral:rRNA from 1 species
UACGUAGGGUGCGAGCGUUGUCCGGAAUUAUUGGGCGUAAAGAGCUUGUAGGUGGUUUGUCGCGUCUGCUGUGAAAAUCCGGGGCUCAACCCCCGGACUUGCAGUGGGUACGGGCAGACUAGAGUGUGGUAAGGGGAGACUGGAAGUUCCUGGUGUAGCGGUGGAAUGCGCAGAUAAUCGUAAGGGAAGACCAGUGGCGAAGGCGGGCUCUGGACAGUUCC